GAUGAACGCUGGCGGCGUGCUUAACACAUGCAAGUCGAACGAAGCAUUUGCGACAGAUUUUUUCGGAAUGAAGUUGCUUAUGACUGAGUGGCGGACGGGUGAGUAACGCGUGGGUAACCUGCCUUGUACUGGGGGAUAGCAGCUGGAAACGGCUGGUAAUACCGCAUAAGCGCACAAUGUUGCAUGACAUGGUGUGAAAAACUCCGGUGGUAUAAGAUGGACCCGCGUCUGAUUAGCUAGUUGGUGAGAUAACAGCCCACCAAGGCGACGAUCAGUAGCCGACCUGAGAGGGGGACCGGCCACAUUGGGACUGAGACACGGCCCAGACUCGUACGGGAGGCAGCAGUGGGGAAUAUUGCACAAUGGAGGAAACUCUGAUGCAGCGACGCCGCGUGAGUGAAGAAGUAAUUCGUUAUGUAAAGCUCUAUCAGCAGGGAAGAUAGUGACGGUACCUGACUAAGAAGCACCGGCUAAAUACGUG
rnacentral:rRNA from 1 species